AUAACGUGCGGAGAUGUAUGCACGUGCACGGCUAUUAAGUCGCCAUCAGUGCCUGAAAGAAUUCAGCAGGGGUGCGUUGCUCGUCGAAGAAAGUCUACUGCGGCUGACCGCUCGUUAAAAAGUUUAACCGGCCACUUAUUAGCGAGACAGAGAGGGGACGAGUGCUGGAACUUGGGGGGGGGGGGAAGAGAAGUAAUACAUAUAUAGGGCGAGGAAAUGUAGCUUCCAGCCUAACGUUUCGUUCUUACGAUCUCUCCCUUUUUCUCUUCUACUUCCCUCGUUGCUGUUCCACGGGUUAAUUCUUGACGCGCACGCUUUCGAUAACAAGGUUGUUUCAAGUGGCACUCCCGAGCUUGCUCUGGGGUCUGCUUGCCCCGAGCAACUAUAUCGAGUGUUCCGCUGUUUAACUUAAUUGCCGCUAGCUGCUACUUCGCAAUUGCUCUCUUUUCAUACAGAGAGCAGAUUCGUCGCUUAGUUAGUUAGUGUGCAAAGUGGAAUUUGAUUGCGUGUUUUUUUUCAGUGCCUUUGAAUGCCUAGAGACUGUGAUUGGAUCAUGUUAUAGAUUCUGACUUGAAUUGUAUGAGAUUCCCUUUUGGUUAUGUAAGGGAAUUAAGUAACAGUUUGGCAAUUGCAAUCUUUUCCAAUGGAGAAAAAGGAGAGAAAGUGAGAUCACAGGCCGUCUAUCCCGAGAAUCUCUCCCGACGGAAGUUACUGUGGAAUCCGUCGGUGGUAAUUCGAGGUGAACGAAACUGAAGUGGGCUCGAAUUACUGGGGAACUAUUAAUGAAACAGGGAUUAAAAGAAAGAAGCUGGCCAACGCAAUGGGGAGAACAGAUGGGUUCGUCGAGCGUUCGUGAAUGGAAAGAAUCGCUGCUUUUUCGCUAUUCACGCGGUGUAGUUGUCUGUGACGAUGGUUUUAAAGGUUCCUGAUCGCGGUACGAUGUUCCUCGGUAAAGGUACACUUGUGAGAAAUUUGUCUGAGGGUAACUGCAUGCUUUUUUCAAGGUAGCCGCCUUUGAUUCGGAUAUUUGAGAUGAUACUUAUUUAAAAUGGACAUAAUACUAAUAUCAAAAAGAAUAUCAAAGGAACGUUUAACAAAUUCGUUAAUAUUAUUAAGAAUAUUAAAGAAGAACUUAUUCAACAUUUGCGUAAUAUUGAUAAAUAUUUUUUCAAUAUUAUAGAAACUAUACGUAUAAAAAGGAAUUCAAAGAGAAAGGGAGGAGAAUGUUGGGAAAGUCUGUCGAAGGUCGUCAAUAAUAGUUUCCAAUACUUGCCCAGCAUUUUGCGGUAACGAGACCCGUAACGACCGUCGUGCAAGAAAUAAACGAGUCGGAUUAUAGUUUUCCGUUUCGCUUAAACUCAAUCGUUCCUGCAGAAAUACAAGUUUCGAGCGGUUCGAUAACGACGGAUCGAAGAAAUUUUUAAAGAGCCAAGAUUGACCGCGUUGAAGUCACCGCGAGUCUCUCCAAUCCUCUUCAACUAGACGUCUGUACACUGUACUGUACACGUGUACAAGCAAAUUGAAGUACGGUAGAACGUUCGACGAUAAUUUGCUCCAAUAAAUUUGAAAUAACGCGUUUGAUAUGUUAUAUAUCUGAAAUGAAUAUAAGAGUAUCUGAAUUUGCUAUUGAUUUACUAUUGCUAUUUUAUUAUAUUAGCAAAUUUUAUAUAUAAUAUAUUAUAUUAUAUUAUGUAAAAAUUUUAGUCUUUUCUUUAAACAUUCAUGUAGAAUUAUAUACUUUUAAUGCAUAUAAUUUACCGUCUUUUUGUAGAAUUGUUUUCUUGGUAUUAAUCUAUCUGAAAUGCUAACUUCAUGAUGGAGUGCUAACGACGAAUGAAUUUACGUAUAAAUAAAGGAAAAUUGAAAAGAAGACUAAAACUUUUACAUACGUUUAAUAAUAAAAAUGAUCAAUUUACGAAUUAUAAAAUUAUUGCUACUUUAUUAUAUUUGCCAGGAUGUAUCAGAGAUUACGUAUAGAACAAUUUCUGUUUAUUUUAUAAAUAAUUGCAAAUAGACAGAUAAAGUUUCCUUUAGAUGAUUCGGCUCUUCAGUCGAAUAAUUAAUCGUUGCAUGAUGGGAUGUUUAUAUCGAAAGGUGAAACGAAAAGGAGUUUAAUUAGUUAAUGAUUUCCAAAGUACUGUAUUACUACAGAAAAAUUCCUUAAUAUAUAAUCGUUCCUUAUAAGUAUUUCUAAUUCUUCCUAUUGUACAAAUGACUUACCAAGUAUCUGGUAUUUUCAUCCUUUAUAUCUACUAUGUUAUUAGAAUUAUAUUAUAUAGUACAUUUUUGUCAGUAGAAUAAAAAUUCACGAUUAAUUGUUGUUUUUCAUUUCAGCACUCUAAUGGAAAAUAUCAUUUGGUGGCAGUCUAAUAAUACAAUGACAAAUAAGUCGCGCUUCUGAACAAAUGAAAAGCGGAAGAACCGACCAAUAAUUCACGGGGUGGUAUCGAUCGAGCACGUGACUCUCCGGCUCGAAUUCCAACGCUGUUGAAAAUGAUAUUAAUGACGAUCGACGCCGUCAGGGGAAAGGAAUGCAAUAUCGCUGCCGCUGGUGUUAAUGUAGCCGCUGGCUGCGACCAAUAGAAAAUUCCACGCUGAAGAAGCUUUUACCCGCGUGGUAUCAUGAACACACCAUUGUCGUCGGAAGGAUUACCAGACAGUUAUUAAAAUAUCAUUCUUCCACGGUGACCCCACUGCCUCCAACAGGGAAAUCCACCCUCACGCGCUAGACGUCAUGGGGGCGACUUUACGUUGGCUGUCUUUCUGCCUCCUUUUCAACGUAGCUGGCGUAACAAUAUGCGUGUUUCACGUGUCCUUGAAACCAAGGGAGGUCUCCGAUGAUCGCGUGGGUGUAUUCGCAAGUCACGUUUCACAAGGAGUAAAAGGAAAGGGUCGUUUAUAAUGCGAGUAAUUGAAAGUUAGUCCAUCCUUAUUCCAAUAGCAACUUUAUAGUAGCUACAGAAAAUACCUAUUCGUGUAGCAUUGUAUCUAUUAUAGCAUUUAUACGUUGUAAUUACUAGGCCGUGGAUUUUUAAGCAAACAUGUAUUUUUAUGGAGAUAAUUAGAGAUAUAAAACCUAGAAUACAUAGAGAUUUGUUACGAGAUGCGUAAAUUUUAUAAUGACUAUUGUACAUCAGAUAUUUUUUAUAUUCAUAUUCAUUGGCUGGAUUUAUAAAUUCUUCAUAUACGUAUAAAAAUCCGCAGUCUGGUAAUUAAUUAGGUUCCAUUAAUUAGGUCCAAUGUUUCAUUGGAAAAUAAAGGUAUGUACAAAUACACUUUGUGGCUACUGUAUAUUAGUCAUAUAGAGAAAUUGAAUACAA